UACCAGCACCCCGAGUGGUCGGGACGUUUAUUGGGCCUAAAGCAUCCGUAGCCGGUUCUACAAGUCUUCCGUUAAAUCCACCUGCUUAACAGAUGGGCUGCGGAAGAUACUAUAGAGCUAGGAGGCAGGAGAGGCAAGCGGUACUCAGUGGGUAGGGGUAAAAUCCGUUGAUCCAUUGAAGACCACCAGUGGCGAAGGCGGCUUGCCAGAACGCGCUCGACGGUGAGGGAUGAAAGCUGGGGAGAGCAAACCGG
rnacentral:rRNA from 1 species